rnacentral:rRNA from 1 species
GAUGAACGCUGGCGGCAUGCCUAACACAUGCAAGUCGGACGGGAAACACGGGACACGGUGUUUCCGGUGGCGGACGGGGGGGUAACGCGUAAGAACCUGCCCUUGGGAGGGGAGCAACAGCUGCAAACGGCUGCUAAUACCCCCUGGGCUGAGGUGCAUAGGGAGGAAUCGGCCCGAGGAGGGGCUCGCGUCUGAUUAGCGAGUUGGUGAGGCAAGAGCUUACUAAGGCGAUGAUCAGUAGCGCGGCCGAGAGGAGGAGCACCCCCACUGGGACUGAGACACGGGGCCGACUCUCCCGCGAGACAGCGGAGGGGAAUAUACCGCACUGGGCGAAAGACUCACGGCGCAAUGCGGCGUGGAGGUAGAAGGCCCACGAGUCGUGAACUGCUCUUCCACCCGAAGAAGUAAUGACGGUAUCGGGAGAAUAAGCACCGGCUAACUCCGUG